CACUGAGAAACUGUAGCACCUUUAUAUCACCUGUUGCAGUAGCUCCAGGAAUCUACCCACCGAUCAUGCUGGCCCAUCGUCCUCUGUAAUGGAAGAUGUGUGUAAGAAGACUGGAGUGAGUGAUCAAUAACUCAAUCAAGAAAUCCCUGAGAGUGACAUCAUUCUAAUCGCAGAGAAAUUUUCUAACCUACUGAGCCGUGCACAAGGUUUUGACAAUUGACGAUCUACAACAUGUUUACGAGAAACUACACACUGCACAAAGUGCCAGCCCUCACUGGUUCAAUCUGGGAUUGGCUCUAGGUUUAACUAAUCCUGUUCUCACCAACAUCGAUAGCAAGCAUCGUGGCGAUAAUGUGUCGUCUUUACGUGCAAUGUUGGCUGAGCUUCUGAAUACGAAAGAUGUAACAUGGAGUCUCCUGACAGAUAGUGUCAAAAAGUCCACAGUGGAUCUCAAAAAUUUGGCUGAUAGCGUCACAGCCACAACUCCUAACCUGCUCAAUCGACUCAACCUCACCCAAGCCGACCUCGGUGCCGGUGAUGUAACUGAUGCCACACAUCGUUAUGGCAAUCAAGCUGGAGUGGCUCAUGCAUUGAGAGCGUGGCAAAGAGUGAAUCCUUCCAGAGCUACCUUCAGGGCCUUGGUGGAAAUUGCCAUAGAACUGAGAAUAGGCACUGCUGUAGACAUUUGUAGAUUUAUUAUAAGUAACUGAACAAAGAUUUAUUUGCCAUGGGACUGAGAAGAGGAGACACUGUUGUAGAUAUUAUUUUGUAUGCUGUAGACAUUUGUAGAUCAUUGUAAGGAACUGAACAAAGAAAAUAAUAUUUAACAUUUUGUUUUUUAUUCUGAGUCUGUGAUGUGUGCUUUUUUC